GGACCUUCCUUAUUAUAAAUGGUGCUGUUUUAUUAAUAGGUUGUUUAAAACCUUUCUUUCCCUAUUUCCUCUUCCAAACGCAGCCAACAUUUUAAUCUGAAUUCACAGCCCUGAAAUCAAAUUGUUAGGGUUCAUUCCAGCAACCGCCGGACCAUCAUUUCAUUUGGUGGUCAACAAUACACGAGCAGCGACUAGAUUCCACCGACGAAGGCACCGCUCAAGGAAAUCUGUAUUUCAGAGAUAUUUGGGAUUUCAUUGGCGACGUUUCAAGGAUUGAUGGAUGACACUUUUGGAUACUCCUUCCAACUUCGAUCUCAACGAAGUGAACAGAGGUCAAUGGCCGAUUUGCAAACUCAGCCGUACGAAGAAGCGGGGAGACGUGCGAAGGAGGCCAUGCGAGGAGCCGCUCGUUGGAGCCCAACUCUCUGGUAUAUUCCAGAAGCUUCUGGUGCUCUCGACCGCUAAACAUCUUUUUGGGUUCCGAAUUUCAGCUAGGUUUAGGAUAUGGGUUUAUGAAUUUGGGUUAAAAUUGUAUUUGGGCUGGUAUAAGUUCUUUAUUUGGGCCUAAAAAUUUGUAAAAGGACAUUGAUGAUGGACUUUUAUUGGUUUUCUUUGUUGGUUUUUCUCUAACGAGCUGGGGCGAAAUGGGCCAAUUACAAUGUAAUUUUAAAAAUAAAAUAGAAAAAAAGGAAAAAUCAGAAAAA